UACGAAGGGGGCUAGCGUUGCUCGGAAUCACUGGGCGUAAAGGGUGCGUAGGCGGGUCUUUAAGUCAGGGGUGAAAUCCUGGAGCUCAACUCCAGAACUGCCUUUGAUACUGAAGAUCUUGAGUUCGGGAGAGGUGAGUGGAAUUCCUAGUGUAGAGGUGAAAUUCGUAGAUAUUAGGAAGAACACCAGUGGCGAAGGCGGCUCACUGGCCCGGUACUGACGCUCAUGUGCGAAAGCGUGGGGAGCAAACAGG
rnacentral:rRNA from 1 species